rnacentral:rRNA from 1 species
UAAUACGUAGGCAGCAAGCGUUGUUCGGAGUUACUGGGCGUAAAGAGUGCGUAGGCGGUGCUCUAAGUUUGGUGUGAAAUCUCCCGGCUUAACUGGGAGGGUGCGCCGAAAACUGGAGUGCUUGAGUGUGGGAGAGGCAAGCGGAAUUCCUGGUGUAGCGGUGAAAUGCGUAGAUAUCAGGAGGAACACCUGUGGUGUAGACAGCUUGCUGGACCAUAACUGACGCUGAGGCACGAAAGCGUGGGUAGCAAACAGGAUUAGAUACCCUGGUAGUCCACGCCCUAAACGAUGCAUACUUGGUGUGAGCCAUUCAUUUGGUUCGUGCCGGAGCUAACGCGUUAAGUAUGCCGCCUGGGGAGUACGGUCGCAAGGCU